UACGUAGGGGGGCUAGCGUUGUCCGGAAUCAUUGGGCGUAAAGCGCGCGUAGGCGGUCAGGUAAGUCCGGUGUGAAAGUCAAAGGCUCAACCUUUGAAUGCCGCUGGAUACUGCCUGACUUGAGUCCGGAAGGGGCGAGUGGAAUUCCUGGUGUAGCGGUGAAAUGCGUAGAUAUCGGGAGGAACACCUGUGGCGAAAGCGGCUCACUGGACCACAACUGACGCUGAGGCGCGAAAGCUAGGGGAGCAAACAGGG
rnacentral:rRNA from 1 species